CAUUUAUGUGGCAUGGAGACUGAGACAGACAUCCUCUGUACAGAUUCUCUCAAUUUCCAGAGAUUUCUUGCAUCCCAUCCCCUGAAAAAACCUGCUCCCAGUGGUAUUCUGCCUCAGCCUAUGUUUUCCAUUGAACUGGUGGGUGUACAAGAAGCACGUCUCUCCUUCCAAGCGUGCAGAUUUCUUCACAGCCUGGAGCUGGCUGAAUGGCUGUGAAAACCAUGCAGCUUCUUGGCCAGCUGCAGCUUCUGUUUACUGUUCAACAAACCCUUGGAGUACUGGAGUAGUUGCCAAGCUAUCAGCAAGAGCUGGGAAAGCUGGACAUUACUGUAACUCACAAUUUGACGUGUGCUCCCUGUGGACGGCUGCUCACUAAAGAAAUUUUGGUUUGCCAGCUUGCCUGUUAUUCAGCCCUGUAAGCCAAAACCGAAUCUUUAAAGCAUCUGAUAGAGCCCUUUGUAACAGAAGAGGGAGCUCUCACAACACCGAUGGAAAAUUUUUGAGGGUGCUGUUUACCCAAGGAAAGCAGAUAAGGAUAGGGACCUGUCUUUUUUUGUAGCAAAGAGGAAGAAG